GGGAGGUUAGUGUACCUGGUGGGCACCACAGGCUUCAACCCUGAUUGACGGUUUUGAUGACAACGCCGUGGGAGGUUCGAUUCCUUCACCUUCUC
rnacentral:tRNA from 19 species